rnacentral:rRNA from 1 species
AUGGAUUCUGAGACACGAAUCCAGACCCUACGGGGUGCAGCAGGCGCGAAAACUUCACACUGCAGGAAACUGUGAUGAGGGAACUCCAAGUGCAUCCACUAUGUGGAUGCUUUUUUUGACUAUUAAUCGGUCAACGAAUAAGGGCUGGGAAAGACCGGUGCCAGCCGCCGCGGUAAUACCGGCAGCUCAAGUGGUCGUCGCUUUUAUUGGGCCUAAAACGUCCGUAGCCUGUUUGGUAAAUCUGUGGGUAAAUCAACCAGCUUAACUGGUUGAAUUCUGCAGAGACUGCCAGACUAGGGACCGGGAGAGGUGUGGGGUACUCUAGGGGUAGGGGUAAAAUCCUGUCAUCCUUAGAGGACCACCAGUUGCGAAGGCGCCACACUGGAACGGAUCCGACGGUCAGGGACGAAGCCUAGGGGCACGAACCGGAUUAGAUACCCGGGUAGUCCUAGGUGUAAACGCUGUGAACUUGGUGUCGGGGAUCCGUCAUGGGUCCCCGGUGCCGGAGUGAAGAUGUUAAGUUCACUGCCUGGGGAGUACGGUCGCAAGGCUGAAACUUAAAGGAAUUGGCGGGGGAGCACUGCAACGGGAGGAGCGUGCGGUUUAAUUGGAUUCAACGCCGGAAAACUCACCAGGGCCGACUGUUAUAUGAAGACCAGCGUAAUGAGCUUGUCGGAUUUUCAGAGAGGUGGUGCAUGGCCGUCGUCAGUUCGUACUGUAAAGCGUUCUGUUAAGUCAGAUAACGAACGAGACCCUCAUCUCUAUUUGCUACCCGUCUCUCCGGAGGCGGCGCACUAUAGGGAGACCGCUGGUGUUAAACCAGAGGAAGGCGAGGGCAACGACAGGUCAGUAUGCCCCGAAUGUCCUGGGCUACACGCGCGCUACAAAGGACGGGACAAUGGGAAGCCAGGCCGAGAGGCCGAGCUAACCCGAAACCCGUUCGUAGUUCGGAUUGAGGGCUGUAACUCGCCCUCAUGAAGCUG